CAAUAGCGUGUAUUAAAGUUGUUGCAGUUAAAAAGCUCGUAGUUGGAUUUCUGGUGGGAGCGAUCGGUCUGGCGCUUAGCGCGAGUACUUGCAUCGUCUCCGGCCAUCCUUGGGGAGAGUCUGUCUGGCAUUAGGUUGUCGGGCAGAGGAUCCUCAUCGUUUACUGUGAAAAAAUUAGAGUGUUCAAAGCAGGCUUAUGCCGUUGAAUAUAUUAGCAUGGAAUAAUAAGAUAGGACUUUGGUACUAUUUUGUUGGUUUGCGCACCAAAGUAAUGAUUAAUAGGGACAGUUGGGGGCAUUCGUAUUCCGUUGUCAGAGGUGAAAUUCUUGGAUUUACGGAAGACGAACUACUGCGAAAGCAUUUACCAAGGAUGUUUNCAUUAA
rnacentral:rRNA from 1 species